GCAACAGUUUGUUUCUUAUACCGAUCCGAUCAACACGUUCGUUUUUGAUUAACCCGUUCCUCGCAUACAACUUAAAAUUAUUUUGCCCACGCGUAUUUAUAUAAUUCACUUUUUUUUUUAUGACCAAAUAUUCUUAUAUUACUUUUGGUAUUUCUUAGAAAAAGUGUUGUUAUUAUCAAAACAAAAAGCAAAUUCGGAAAUUUCUUUGAUAACACAAUAAUAGAUUCGCAAUAAUAAAAAAAGGAUUGUUCGGAAUGGCUGCUCGGAAGAGUACCAUAAUCUAGACAUGGAGUCUAGAAUAGGACUUGAUUAUAUCGUUGAAAACCCAGAGUAUACAGCAAAACUAGCUACAGCUCUUGACACUAACAAUGUUACUGUGAAAAAGCAAGUAUUGGAGUUGCUGUCUGCAUUAUGUGUUUAUAAUUUAGAAGGUCAUGCCAGAGCACUUGAUACCCUUCAACAUUACAAGGACCAGAAAAAUGAAAGGUACAGAUUACAAAUCGUUGUUCGUGAAUUGCAAUGGGCUCUCUCUAAAGGCCAAGAAACAGCAGACUAUCAAACAGCUAUUGUGGCAUUUAUCAACUGCCUCAUUAUAUCUACGCCACAGCUUCGAGACCGGAUAAGAAUUAGGAAUGAAUUUAUUGGUCUCAAACUUCUACCGAUAUUAAAUGAACUGAGGAAAGGAUCAAUAAACUAUGCAGAUCUUGGGGUACAAUUAGAUGUUUUUGACGAACAACGAGAAAAUGACGAAUCACAAAUCCUAGAUGUACCUUUUCGUGGAGUUGAUAUAAACUCUCAUGUGGAUGUUUUUUACGCUAUCUUAAAACAGGUAGCAGACACGCCACAAGAAAUACCAUUCUUGAGCGUACUUCAGCAUCUGCUCAGGAUCGAUCCCAAAGAAGCUGUCAGUGAUAUCGUCUGGGAUACGGCCGAAACGCUGGUACACCGUUCGACAUUGCUCGAGAACCGGCAGGACGCGUCACGCCUGUUGCGUACUCCAAGCGUUCUCGGUCAAAGUCAACCCAGGGAUGUGGGUUUGCGGGUGUGCUGUUGUGGGCGCAAACAGUCGUUGGGCCCAUCGAACGUGACUUCACCCACGUCAGCCACCCCUCCACCGCCACCACCUCCGCCACCACCACCACCUCAACAAACCUCAGGGAAUCCACCCCCACCACCACCUCCUCCACCACCGUUGAUGGGCGUACCACCGCCGCCGGUACCCCCAGCGCCUUUCUUUCCUCAAAAUCAGCAGCCUACGGCUGUCGAAUUAGCACAACACACCGGCAAACGGUUCCUCUCGAUGGGCAACAGCGGGUCGGCCAUCACCGUGGACGCGCCUCCACCGCCACCCACGGUCUCUGCGGUUGCUAAACUCUUACCUCAACAAGAAACUCCCACACCUAAAGCCAAAAUGAAAACUAUUAAUUGGAACAAAAUCCCCGACAAUAAAGUCGUUGGACGCCAUAAUAUUUGGUCACUUGUGGCCAGAAGUCAUCAAAAUUCACCCAUGCCAGAUCUUGAUUGGUCAGAAAUGGAAGGUUUGUUUUGUCAACAAGCCCCCACAGCUCCAAUUAGUCAAAGCGGAAUAUUAAACUUCAGAUUAGGCCAAGAGAAUAGUGAAUGUGAUAAAAAACGAAAAGAACCAACAGAAAUUGUUUUAUUAGACGGAAAACGAAGUUUAAAUGUAAACAUAUUUCUGAAACAAUUUCGAAGUUCAAAUGAGGAUAUUAUACAGUUAAUACGUGAUGGCGAUCACGAUGAUAUAGGGGCAGAAAAACUGCGUGGUUUACUAAAAAUUUUACCUGAAUUAGAUGAAUUAGAAAUGCUUAGGGCUUUUGAAGGAGAUAAGACCAAACUGGGAAAUGCCGAGAAAUUCCUGUUACAACUGAUUGAUAUUCCUAAUUACAAGUUACGCAUUGAAAGUAUGUUAUUAAAGGAGGAAUUCGCAUCAAAUAUGAGUUACCUCGAACCAAGCAUUAAUUCAAUGAUCGUCGCAGGUGAAGAUUUAAUGACGAACAAACGAUUCCAAGAAGUACUAUAUAUGGUGAUUUGUGCUGGAAAUUUUUUAAAUUUUGGUGGCUAUGCGGGAAAAGCUGCUGGGGUGAAGUUAAGUUCCUUACAAAAACUCACUGAUAUAAGAGCUAAUAAACCUGGUAUGAAUCUUAUCCAUUAUGUAGCACUGCAAGCAGAAAAAAAUAGAAAAGAUUUACUUAAAUUUCCUGAAGAGAUGUCUGUAUUAGAAGAAGCUACCAAGACUACUGUAGAACAGUUGCAAAAUGAGAUAAAUGCUUUAGAUUCAAGGUUCAAAGUUGUACGAAAACAAAUUGAGUUGCCUAAUACUGAACAAGAUAUUAAAAAUCAAAUGAUAGAAUUUUUGAAGGUUGCCGAAAGACAAGUUGGGGGAUUACAAAGUGAUAUUGCGGAAUUGGAAUCUAUGAGGAAAACGUUGGCUGAUUUCUUUUGUGAAGAUAUUAACACAUUCAAAUUAGAAGAAUGUUUCCGGAUUGUUCACAGUUUUUGUAUGAAAUUCAGAUUAGCCGUAGCUGAAAAUGAACGAAGAAAAGUACAAGAAGAACAAGCUUUAGUUCGACGAAAACAAAGAGAAGAACAAUUAGCUGUGAAAAAAAGAUUAUUGACCAAUGAUCAACAAAACAAUGGCUCUGAUGUUGAAAGUAAUUUAGUUGAUUCAAUUUUAUAUGACAUUCGUUCAGGAUUUCCUCAUAAAAAGAGUUUUGAUAAGGGUAAAAGACCACAUAAUGCGACAAUUGUGACUUCAGAGGAGGAUAAUAUAUCAGUAUCUGGUUCACCAGCUGUGAUUAGGCGAAGACUUGGUGUUGUUGAUAACCCUAAUAAAGAAGAUAAUCUAUCCCCAGAUAUUACUCCGAAUGGAAGUUUGCGUCGUAGAAGAAGUAGAGUGCCAUCAGAAGAAGAUGAAAUAACAUUAAUGGAUUUCUUGAGAACAUCUAAUCAAGAUGCUCCACCUGUAUCAAAUAUUCAAAGAAAAUCAUGGGGUAGCUUAGACCGAUCAUGGGCAAGGAGAUUUAGAGGUAGUGGUAAAAAGAGACCAGACUUAUUAAGUGCUGAUUUCAGUGCUGAUAGAGAACGAGCAAAUUCACCAUCACCUGUUAUAGAAACUAAAUCAAUUAUAUCUACUGCAGCAUCAACUCCUGAAGAAGAAUCGAAGCCAAAAGCAUGGAGGCAAAAAAUUGAAGCAUGGCUACAAGAGAACGAAAAAGAAGAUAAAGAUUCUGACGAUUUACGACGUAAGACUCAAAGAAUACAAAAUAAUAGACGAUCAUUAGAAAAUGAUUCUGAGAGUGAUGGUCGUAGUAGUAUUUUGGAUACAUUACCUGAAGGAAAAUUGGCUAAUGCAAAUAACGAUGGAUAUAAAAGAGUAUAUGCUGAUUGGAGACCCACUAUUGAUAAAACUGAUGUCGUUGGGGUUAUGGAAGCAAUUGCUGAAGCUCAACCACCAGUUAAAGAUAAAUCUCAAUGGCGAAAAUCUAAUUUGAAUGUACCAAACACAUCAGAAGAAACUGAUAGCAAUCUCAAAAGAACUAAAAAACCAACUUCUCUAUCAAAUUUUGAUAAUCAUAGCACACCCUUACAUGCUAUCAAAGAAGAAGACAAAAGAAAAGGUUUUAUUGAAAAACUAGGACAGAAUGUAUCAAAUCAAGACCGUUUAACAGUUUAUAUUCGGGGAACAGAUCAGCCAGAAAUAAAACCAAAUGUAAGAAGUCCUUCCUCAUUUAGAAAACAAUUGUCCUGUCCGGAUUCACCAGAAGAAAAACUAUUACCUCCCUUUGCCCCUCGACGAAAAACUUCAGAUUCUACUAAUCCAGGAGAUGUAACUGAUAAAAUUGACAUAGAUUCAGAUAAUAUAGAAACACCGCCGACAUCACGUAGGCAAAUUGUAAAACCUCAAUCAAUUCCAUUAAAAAUUCAAACAGUUGAAGAAGAAAAUCUAGGAGAUGGUCAAUUUGAUAGAUUUUCAGCAGCCAGGCGUACUCGGAGAUAUAGAAAAACUCCAGAAGAUGAUUUAGGUCGAAAAUUAGAAGGAUACGAAUCACCAAAAACAAACGAGGAUACAGAUGUUCGAUUAAAAAAGUGGAAAGAUAAACUGAUGUAUAAGACAUCUGAUGAUGAUAAUAAAGAUUUUUCUAGAAACCGUCUAUACUCAUCUAUGCCCAGGACAACCAGAAACCAAAGUGUUGUAGAUCAUGGUGAUAUUAUGAAAGCAGUUAAAAUUUAUGGACAGCUUUCUCCAGAAAAAAGUAUUAUAGAGCCAAAAGCUCUAGAUAGAGUGACUAAGAUAAAUCUUCAUGAUAAUGAUGAAUCUUCAAUACAUUUAAAAAGUGAGUUCAUACCAGAGAUCAGAGUACAAGCUUUAACACCACCUAUAAAAAUUAGAACUGAACACGACUUAAAUGAUGAAGGUUUUGAAGAAUCUGUUAGUUUGAUGUCGGCUGAGUCAUUAAGUCAGGAGACUUCUUCGGGUAACUUUGAAACUGAAAAACAAAUCCCAAAGACAAUAGCAAGAGCUGAUAGUAGUGGAAGUAACGAUACUAAUAGUAGUAGUGGACCUGUUGCCCCUACCCUAAGAAAAACAAAUUCACUGAAGUCAUCCAUUAAACCUAUAGUAGUUAGAAAAACUGAGUUACCAAAACGAACAAGUAGUUUUAGAACUCCACAAACUAUUCAGAAACCAAUGGUGAAAGUUAUUCCAUCAAUCAAGCCUAUAAUGAAAUCAACAGCUGCCCAAAAGCCAACCAUAACUAGAACCACAAGUGCACCAAAGCCUGUUGAAAGGUCAAGUUCUAAAAGUAGCUUGCGUAGCUCUAGGAGUUCGCUCAAUAGCUCAAACUCUGUCAGCACAGUCAAAAAGAUUCCCGGUAUUGCGACCUACACACGAGCUAUCAAUGACCUGACAACGGAUUUGAAGUCAAAAAAACCAUUGAAUACAUUGCAACUGCACAACCGUGAUACACCUAUGGCUAGCAGAAGCAGUAGCAGUGGUAGUAGCAUUGCAGUUCCUGUUAACAAACCAAAGCCAAAACCAUUGAGCACUAGUUUCAAAGAGAACCAAGGCAGAUCUGGUAUAACAGGAAUGUCACCCUCCAGAAAAUCAUUAGGAUUCAUGAGACCAACUGCUUCUAGUACCGCAAAAGACUUGGUUGACAAUGGCAAACCAAUGCCUUUAGUAAAAAAAAAUUUUAAGUAGAUGUUUUAAAUACAUAGGUAUAUUAUAUAAAAGUUGUCAAUUAUUACCAUACAUAAUUUAUACCCAAUACACAGUCUUAACAUUGGAUUAUUAUUCAUUAUGCAGAAUUAUAGUGAAUGUUUGAAAAACGACAGACCUAUAUAAAUAAUCAUUUACUAGAAGAAAAACAAUCAAAUAUAGUUUAAUUUAAUUUAAUAUAUACACAUAAAUUUGAAAUUAAGUUAGUAUUGUUGUAUAUAUUUUUACUUAUUUAACUUUAUUCGUAUAACUUAUAUAAGUAUAUGAAUUUAUUAUAUAUCUGGUAUCUAGUCAGAACAUGUUGCUAAACAAUCAAAAUGGUGCCUUUUGUAAUUAUACUAGUAAUGAAAUAAUUAAAUUGUGUCACUUUUUUGGAAAUUAUUAUAUAUUUUUAAAUCAAAACAUUUUUUAAAUUGCUAACAACAUUUUAUUUUUUUUUAAAUAUAUUGUUAUAUUUUUUUUUAAUUUAUCAUUAUUAAAAUAUAAAUUAAAUCAUGUAAUUAUCAUCUACAAUUUAUUAAGUUCUAAAUCUAUCUUACUAACAAUUCUUUUAUUAUAAUAAAUUAUUAUUGUUUUGUAA